rnacentral:rRNA from 1 species
UUUAUAGGAUUAAGAUGGGCAUGCGUGUCAUUAGUUAGUUGGCGAGGUAACGGCUCACCAAGACCACGAUGACUAGGGGAUCUGAGAGGAUGACCCCCCACACUGGUACUGAGACACGGACCAGACUCCUACGGGAGGCAGCAGUAAGGAAUAUUGGUCAAUGGAGGCAACUCUGAACCAGCCAUGCCGCGUGCAGGAAGACAGCCCUCUGGGUCGUAAACUGCUUUUAUUCGGGAAUAAACCACAUUACGUGUAGUGUGCUGAAUGUACCGAAGGAAUAAGGAUCGGCUAACUCCGUGCCAGCAGCCGCGGUAAUACGGAGGAUCCAAGCGUUAUCCGGAUUUAUUGGGUUUAAAGGGUGCGUAGGCGGCUUAUUAAGUCAGGGGUGAAAGACGGUGGCUCAACCAUCGCAGUGCCCUUGAUACUGAUGAGCUUGAAUACACUAGAGGUAGGCGGAAUGUGACAAGUAGCGGUGAAAUGCAUAGAUAUGUCACAGAACACCGAUUGCGAAGGCAGCUUACUAUGGUGUUAUUGACGCUGAGGCACGAAAGCGUGGGGAUCAAACAGGAUUAGAUACCCUGGUAGUCCACGCCCUAAACGAUGAAUACUCGCUGUUAGCGAUACACAGUUAGCGGCUAAGCGAAAGCGUUAAGUAUUCCACCUGGGGAGUACGCCCGCAAGGGUGAAACUCAAAGGAAUUGACGGGGGCCCGCACAAGCGGAGGAACAUGUGGUUUAAUUCGAUGAUACGCGAGGAACCUUACCCGGGCUUGAAAGUUAGUGAAUGAUCUAGAGAUAGAUCAGUGAGCAAUCACACGAAACUAGGUGCUGCAGGGCUGUCGUCAGCUCGUGCCCUGAGGUGUUUGGGUUAAGUCCCGCAACGAGCGCAACCCCUAUUUUUAUUUGCCAGCACGUUAAGGGGGGGGACUCUAAACAAAAUGGCCUGUGCCAACCAGA